AUUGAACGCUGGCGGCAUGCUUUACACAUGCAAGUCGAACGGUAACAGGCCGCAAGGUGCUGACGAGUGGCGAACGGGUGAGUAAUGCAUCGGAACGUGCCCAGUCGUGGGGGAUAACUACUCGAAAGAGUAGCUAAUACCGCAUACGAUCUAUGGAUGAAAGCGGGGGACCGUAAGGCCUCGCGCGAUUGGAGCGGCCGAUGUCAGAUAGGUAGUUGGUGGGGGAAAGGCUCACCAAGCCAACGAACUGUAGCUGGUCUGAGAGGACGACCAGCCACACUGGGACUGAGACACGGCCCAGACUCCUACGGGAGGCAGCAGUGGGGAAUUUUGGACAAUGGGCGCAAGCCUGAUCCAGCAAUGCCGCGUGCAGGAAGAAGGCCUUCGGGUUGUAAACUGCUUUUGUACGGAACGAAACGGCUCUGGUUAAUACCCGGGGCUAAUGACGGUACCGUAAGAAUAAGCACCGGCUAACUACGUG
rnacentral:rRNA from 1 species